rnacentral:tRNA from 2 species
UGGGGUAUAGCCAAGUGGUAAGGCAACGGGUUUUGAUCCCGUCAUUCGUUGGUUCAAGUCCAGCUACCCCAGCCA